GGUCGGAUUCAGGGGUAAAACGAUGCCGUUUUGAACAUUUGAGGCCAGUCCCAAAACGACGUCAUUUUGGGCCUAUAAAAGUCAAUUUUUUGACAAAAACUUUCAUUUUUCACCUGUUUCAAAAAAAAAAAAAAUUCUUCUUUCUCUUUGGGCAUAGCCCAGAAUCCGGCUAGGUUCAGGCGAACCACUGCCGCGCCAACUGCCAGUAGCCGGCGACGUUGCCGCCGUCUACGGCGACCAAAAAACAAAAAAUUUCCUCUCUUUUUUUUUGACGAUCUGAAAUAGGUGGAUGGGUAGUGCUGACACGGGCGGUGGAGUAAUGGCGGUUGGCAGACCUUUUUUUUUUUUUGAUUAUUUAGGGUAUUGGGCUGUAUUGUGGGGUCUGGUUUUGGGCUAAUGGUUCAGGUUCAGGUUGGGUUUAAUUGGUAUGGUUUGGGUUUUGGUUUUGUAUUAGUUUUGGUUUAAUUUAUUUGGGCUGUGGUGUGUUGGGUUUGGUUAAUUGAUUUUGGUUUAGUUUGGGGUGGCUGUUUAGUUUAGGGUCUUUAUUAGGCCCCGAGCCUAAUUGGGCUUGUACAUAAGCAAAAUAAUAUUAAUUUUAUUUUUUUA